rnacentral:rRNA from 1 species
UAAUACAGAGGGGGCGAGCGUUGUUCGGAAUUACUGGGCGUAAAGGGCGCGUAGGCGGCCAACUAAGUCGGACGUGAAAUCCCCUGGCUCAACCAGGGAACUGCGUCCGAUACUGAUUGGCUUGAAUCCGGGAGAGGGAUGUGGAAUUCCAGGUGUAGCGGUGAAAUGCGUAGAUAUCUGGAGGAACACCGGUGGCGAAGGCGGCAUCCUGGACCGGUAUUGACGCUGAGGCGCGAAAGCCAGGGGAGCAAACGGGAUUAGAUACCCCGGUAGUCCUGGCCCUAAACGAUGAAUGCUUGGUGUGGUGGGUAUCGAUCCCCGCCGUGCCGAAGCUAACGCAUUAAGCAUUCCGCCUGGGGAGUACGGUCGCAAGGCUG